rnacentral:rRNA from 1 species
AACGAACGCUGGCGGCAGGCUUAACACAUGCAAGUCGAACGCCCCGCAAGGGGAGUGGCGCACGGGUGAGUAACGCGUGGGAAUAUGCCCUUCGGUUCGGAAUAACACAGGGAAACUUGUGCUAAUACCGGAUACGAUCUACGGAUGAAAGAGUUAUCGCCGAGGGAGUAGCCCGCGUAGGAUUAGCUAGUUGGUGAGGUAAUGGCUCACCAAGGCGACGAUCCUUAGCUGGUCUGAGAGGAUGCUCAGCCACACUGGGACUGAUACACGGCCCAGACUCCUACGGGAGGCAGCAGUGGGGAAUAUUGGACAAUGGGGGAAACCCUGAUCCAGCCAUGCCGCGUGAGUGAUGAAGGCCUUAGGGUUGUAAAGCUCUUUCGCCAGGGAAGAUAAUGACGGUACCUGGAAAAGAAGCCUCGGCUAACUCCGUGCCAGCCGCCGCAGUAAAAC